AUAACCUUUCGUUCAGCUACAUCC
rnacentral:siRNA from 1 species